GACGAACGCUGGCGGCGUGCUUAACACAUGCCAGUCGAACGGAAAGGCCCUGCUUUUGUGGGGUGCUCGAGUGGCGAACGGGUGAGUAACACGUGAGUAACCUGCCCUUGACUUUGGGAUAACUUCAGGAAACUGGGGCUAAUACCGGAUAGGAGCUCCUGCUGCAUGGUGGGGGUUGGAAAGUUUCGGCGGUUGGGGAUGGACUCGCGGCUUAUCAGCUUGUUGGUGGGGUAGUGGCUUACCAAGGCUUUGACGGGUAGCCGGCCUGAGGGGGUGACCGGCCACAUUGGGACUGAGAUACGGCCCAGACUCCUACGGGAGGCAGCAGUGGGGAAUAUUGCACAAUGGGCGGAAGCCUGAUGAAGCAACGCCGCGUGCGGGAUGACGGCCUUCGGGUUGUAAACCGCUUUCGCCUGUGACGAAGCGUGAGUGACGGUAAUGGGUAAAGAAGCACCGGCUAACUACGUG
rnacentral:rRNA from 1 species